CUGAAAAUAAGAGAGGGGUCCCUUCUCUGUGAGGCUGAGUUUCCUGACUGUACGAAGGAGUCAGGCCUUUCCCCUGUGACGUUUUCUCCUCUUUAUUACAGUGGCAGGAGCAUCCCGGCGAGAGGCCUGACCCAGGUGUGUAGGCCAAGCAGCCAGCCCGGAAAUCCAAUGGGGUGUUCUUGGGGUGCAGAGGAGGAUUUGUGACAGUCCAUACACAGAAAAAGGAAAAGGUGGCUUUGAAGAGGGAGUGUUGCCAUUCAGGGAUGUGGCCAUAGAAUUCUCCCCAGAAGAGUGGGAAUGCCUGGACUCUGCUCAGCAGCGUUUGCAUAGGGAUGCGAUGUUAGAGAACUAUGGAAACCUGGUGUCUCUGGGUCUUGUUAUUUCCAAGCCAGACUUGAUUACCCUUCUGGAGCAAAGAGCCCUGGAAUGUGAAGAGACAGAAGACAGUAGUCAAAUACCCAGGUAGGUGGGAGUGAAUGAAGGAAAUGACACAAAUGAGAGUUCCCAAUGUCAAGGAGGAAGCCAGACUUUUACACACGGUUUGAAU
rnacentral:lncRNA from 1 species